rnacentral:rRNA from 1 species
UACGUAGGUGGCAAGCGUUGUCCGGAAUUAUUGGGCGUAAAGCGCGCGCAGGCGGUCCUUUUAAGUCUGAUGUGAAAGCCCACGGCUCAACCGUGGAGGGUCAUUGGAAACUGGGGGGACUUGAGUGCAGAAGAGGAGAGUGGAAUUCCACGUGUAGCGGUGAAAUGCGUAGAGAUGUGGAGGAACACCAAUAGCGAAGGCAGCUCGCUGGGACGGUACUGACACUAAGGCGCGAAAGCGUGGGGAGCGAACGAGG